rnacentral:rRNA from 1 species
UACGUAGGGUGCAAGCGUUGUCCGGAAUUAUUGGGCGUAAGGAGCUCGUAGGCGGUCUGUCGCGUCGGCUGUGAAAACUCGGGGCUCAACCCCGAGCCUGCAGUCGAUACGGGCAGACUAGAGUGCUGUAGGGGAGACUGGAAUUCCUGGUGUAGCGGUGAAAUGCGCAGAUAUCAGGAGGAACACCGGUGGCGAAGGCGGGUCUCUGGGCAGUAACUGACGCUGAGGAGCGAAAGCGUGGGUAGCAAACAGG